rnacentral:rRNA from 1 species
AUUGAACGCUGGCGGCAGGCCUAACACAUGCAAGUCGAACGGUAACAGGAAGAAGCUUGCUUCUUUGCUGACGAGUGGCGGACGGGUGAGUAAUGUCUGGGAAACUGCCUGAUGGAGGGGGAUAACUACUGGAAACGGUAGCUAAUACCGCAUAAUGUCGCAAGACCAAAGAGGGGGACCUUCGGGCCUCUUGCCAUCGGAUGUGCCCAGAUGGGAUUAGCUAGUAGGUGGGGUAACGGCUCACCUAGGCGACGAUCCCUAGCUGGUCUGAGAGGAUGACCAGCCACACUGGAACUGAGACACGGUCCAGACUCCUACGGGAGGCAGCAGUGGGGAAUAUUGCACAAAGGGCGCAAGCCUGAUGCAGCUAUGCCGCGUGUAUGAAGAAGGCCUUCGGGUUGUAAAGUACUUUCAGCGGGGAGGAAGGGAGUAAAGUUAAUACCUUUGCUCAUUGACGUUACCCGCAGAAGAAGCACCGGCCAACUCCGUG